rnacentral:rRNA from 1 species
GACGAACGCUGGCGGCGUGCCUAAUACAUGCAAGUAGAACGCACAGUUUAUACCGUAGCUUGCUACACCAUAAACUGUGAGUUGCGAACGGGUGAGUAACGCGUAGGUAACCUGCCUGGUAGCGGGGGAUAACUAUUGGAAACGAUAGCUAAUACCGCAUAAUAUUAAUUAUUGCAUGAUAAUUGAUUGAAAGAUGCAAUUGCAUCACUACCAGAUGGACCUGCGUUGUAUUAGCUAGUAGGUGAGGUAACGGCUCACCUAGGCGACGAUACAUAGCCGACCUGGGAGGGUGAUCGGCCACACUGGGACUGGGACACGGCCCAGACUCCUACGGGAGGCAGCAGUAGGGAAUUUUCGGCAAUGGACGGAAGUCUGACCGAGCAACGACGCGUGAGUGAAGAAGGUUUUCGGAUCGUAAAGCUCUGUUGUAAGAGAAGAACGGGUGUGAGAGUGGAAAGUUCACACUGUGACGGUAUCUUACCAGAAAGGGACGGCUAACUACGUG